AACGCGAAGAACCUUACCAGGUCUUGACAUACUACGCUAACCUGAGAGAUCAGGCGUUCCCUUCGGGGACGUGGAUACAGGUGGUGCAUGGUUGUCGUCAGCUCGUGUCGUGAGAUGUUGGGUUAAGUCCCGCAACGAGCGCAACCCUUAUUAUCAGUUGCCAGCAUUCAGUUGGGCACUCUGGUGAGACUGCCGGUGACAAACCGGAGGAAGGUGGGGAUGACGUCAAAUCAUCAUGCCCCUUAUGACCUGGGCUACACACGUGCUACAAUGGUCGGUACAACGAGUCGCGAAGUCGUGAGGCUAAGCUAAUCUCUUAAAGCCGUUCUCAGUUCGGAUUGUAGGCUGCAACUCGCCUACAUGAAGUUGGAAUCGCUAGUAAUCGCGGAUCAGCAUGCCGCGGUGAAUACGUUCCCGGGUCUUGUACACACGC
rnacentral:rRNA from 1 species